rnacentral:rRNA from 1 species
UACAGACGGUCCAAACGUUAUUCGGAAUCACUGGGCUUAAAGAGUUCGUAGGCGGUCAGGAAAGUGGGGUGUGAAAGCCCUCGGCUCAACUGGGGAGGGUCACUCGAUACUGAUCGACUCGAAGGCAGGAGAGGGAAGCGGAAUUCCCGGUGUAGUGGUGAAAUGCGUAGAUAUCGGGAGGAACACCAGAGGCGAAGGCGGCUUCUCGCGU